rnacentral:rRNA from 1 species
UACGUAGGUGGCAAGCGUUAUCCGGAAUUACUGGGCGUAAAGCGCACGCAGGCGGUCUCUUAAGUUUGACGUGAAAGCUCCCGGCUUAACUGGGAGAGGUCGUUGAAGACUGGGAGACUUGAGGCAAUGAGAGGGGUGUAGAAUUCCCGGUGUAGUGGUGGAAUGCGUAGAUAUCGGGGGGAAUACCAGUGGCGAAAGCGGCACCCUAGCGUUAGCCUGACGCUCAUGUGCGAAAGCGUGGGGAGCGAACGGG